rnacentral:rRNA from 1 species
UACGGGGGGGGCAAGCGUUGUCCGGAAUUACUGGGCGUAAAGGGCUCGUAGGCGGCCAACUAAGUCGGAUGUGAAAUCCCCAGGCUCAACUUGGGAACUGCAUCCGAUACUGGAUGGCUUGAAUUCGGGAGAGGGAUGCAGAAUUCCAGGUGUAGCGGUGAAAUGCGUAGAUAUCUGGAGGAAUACCGGUGGCGAAGGCGGCAUCCUGGACCGACAUUGACGCUGAGGAGCGAAAGCUAGGGGAGCAAACGGG